rnacentral:misc_RNA from 1 species
UAACCCUUCAAGCCUUGGCUUUGGUAUUUGGGGUUUCGCGGUUUCGCGGCCCUUAAAAUCAGUGGCGGUGCCAUCCUGGCUCUAAGCGUAGUAAUUCUCUCGCUAUAGGGUCUCGGCGGUAGCUUGCUAGAAACCCCCCGAUUUUUCGAC